rnacentral:rRNA from 1 species
ACGCUCGACACCUACGGGGGCAGCAGUGGGGAAUAUUGCACAAUGGGGGAAACCCUGAUGCAGCAACGCCGCGUGAAGGAAGACGGUUUUCGGAUUGUAAACUUCUGUUCUUAGUGAAGAUAGUGACGGUAGCUAAGGAGCAAGCCACGGCUAACUACGUGCAAGCAGCCGCGGUAAUCUGAGCGGGCUGGCAAGGC